UUUUUUCACACAUUAUCAGGGAAAUACAAAAUAAAGUCGACUCGAAAGGACAAUAAUUCGGAAAAAAUGUAUCACGAGCUUUUGUUCGCGCAGCAAAAAUUGAAAUAAAUUGAUGUUUAAAAUUGAAAGUAACAAAGCAACAUAAACUCCGGCGAAUUUAAACGAUUUGAUUGUGGUAGGUCGAGGCUACACUCAACCAUUAAAUGAUAAGUAUCGAUAUAUCUUCCGUGCCCCAGUAUUUACCAUGGCCUGAUUGCUGCACUGAGUAGCAUUAUACAUUACACACCAGUCCCAAGUCCAUUGUCAAGCUUUUGGACAUUGAGAUGCUAUUGUUUUAUCGACACCGGAAUAUUAUUCAGUUGCGGCGCAUUAUGAGUCGGCAAAUGAUGGAGAGUGAACUAUGUACCUAUGUACCCACUAUACAUAUACAUACCAUGACCUAUUUUGCAAAUAGAGAAGUUGAAAUAAUAAUUUUCUGAUGUCGCGCACGGAGGGAAUGUUUUUUAUCUCGAAAUCUGGGAGAGAAUGUUUUUAUCGUUUUUUGUAAAUUAAAAAUGGUUAGGAAAGAAAAUUUAUGUUAAGAUAUUUAUCGAAAACUGGACUAAGAUCGAUAUCAUCCAGACCCUAUUUAUCACGUCACGACUGAGUUUUAGUAUAAAUAGAAAUUUUAUUGAGGAAACAUGAAUCCGUUUCUUUGUAUUUCCGUAAAGAUUUUCCAGAAAUCCCCACAAAAAUUUUACUUUGACAGAAGGAGAAUUUUUUUAUAGUCGAUGGAUUGUAACUUUUUCAGUACUUGUAGGUGAACGGUUCGAUAAAAUAUAUCUCGACCGUGAACACUCAGUUUGAAUUUCAAGUAUUUUAACAGGGGAUGCGAUCCCUGUACCGCACAGCAGCCGAUACAUCGCACCUGAUUUUCUCGAUAACCACUCAGUUUUUCCACAUCGUCUCAGACAUUGGGGUGAGGUUGGCCGCCGACGUUGCUAGAAUGUGGUACAAAUCAAUGUUCUCUCGAGGCUGUACUGCAAUAAUUUUAUCGUCUCAUCCAAUGGCGCCCAAUGUUGUUAAUAAAUACCGAGGGAAUGACAUCAUGAGCUCAGACGAGUGGAUCUCGACAGUUCACUUUCCGCAAUUGUUCACGCAAUUUGCUGUUAUGACUGUGAUUGCCAGAAGACAUUUCCACAAUGAGUUCUGAUGAGAACAUGAUUGGCGACAAAACAUUGAAACUCCUCCAAUAUGGAUUGCACGGACCACAACUCCACUUCAACUGAAGACUUAAUACUCUUUGUAAAGCACAAGUUCUUCAAAUAAUAGACGGCAAGUUACGCGAAGUAAGUUGUUGGCUUCUUGUUGAAGUUGUAACGCGAGAACAUUAUCCAACUUGUUGACUACAAGCCAGUUGAGCUAUUAGAAUCCUUCCAAUGGAGGGGAAAGGGAUUUCCAUGGGAAAUCUUUCAUCCCCUAGUCGUCGCUUGCUUGAUAAAUAAAUUGACGUUCUUCAUCAAAUUGACAGCUCCCCAAAUAUCAAAAUAUUUCUUCUCAAUGAGGGUCAAUGCUAAAAUUUCAAUAAAAUUCAAAAAUAAUGAGCUUCAGUGAUCGUCUAUUACCAAUAUACCAUAUGCAAGUAUAAACAAGGCAUAAACAAAUUAAUUAAACCAUCCAAGUAUUUUUAAAAAAUACUGUGAGCGAUAUGCAUGGACGGAUGGUAAAGCGGGGCGAUUUUUCAGCGAUAGCAACUGGUACAUUCAAGAAAUCUACGUUACCGACAACUUGGCGAUAACGUUGCUAAAAAUGACAUCAGCUUUUCACCCACCACCAGGUCCUGUGGCGCAACGGAUAACGCGUCUGACUACGGAUCAGAAGAUUCCAGGUUCGAAUCCUGGCAGGAUCGAUUAUUUUUUUUUAUUACUUCGAUAAUAAGCAAUCGGUCAAUGCCACUCUUUCUCGUAAACUUUCCGGGAAAAAUCCAAAACGUUCCAGACAAAAUAUGGAACGUUCCGUAAAAAAAUAGGUCACUGUUCCCUAAUUUUCACUGGCCACAUAGUCAUCAUGCCUCGAGGCGAUGAUUUAACGCCUCCUGGUGCGUAUGUACUCCGUACUCCCUAAACAUAUGAACAUUCCAAUAUGGCAGAGUCCAUCCAUCAGCAUAAUUACUCGUAAAUAAAUCCAGCACCGUAAAUUGAUUACCGCCUAGCACUCACUGAAAAUUCAAAUUAAUCUUCUCGAAUUACUCUCUUUUUUCUUCUUCUCCAUUUUCCACAAUUCAGAACAAUAACAGUAUUGCUAUAGCAUGCAGGGGUAUCAGAGACAAUGGGGGAGGAUGGAGAGGUGGGAGUUAACCGUACUGGGGUCAUGAAACAGAGGGGAGGUCAGAGGGAACGUUAAAAUGGGUAGAGAAUGAGAGAAGUAAAAUGGGACUAGAAGUCCUAGAUCAUCUCGAUACAGUUGUACACGGAGAGGACUCACCAACUCUCCGGAGGUAUUCCGGAUGUGCACUCUGUUACUGCAGUCGGGGUAAAUCUACAUGAGAUCGUUAUUUAUCCGAGUGUUAAAGCUGCUUUUGAGGGGGUUAUUCUGGUGGGAGAUGCAUUGCGUUUAUGGGGGAAAUGGGAAGACGAAUUUUUGGAGAGUCAAUAGAAGGUAUUUUCACGUGUUCAAGAUAUGAAUUACAUACAUAUUGAGUGAUAUUGCGUGUAUGAUAAUUAUUGGACGGUAUCGAACGGAAAAGGAGACAUAAUUCUCGCUGAUAAUCUUAAUGUAAUUAUCCGUAAUUAAGUAAAUAAGUGGAAAAUUAGUUUUGUCUUAAUUUCACAGCUCUGAAUAAACGGAGAGAAAUAGUUUAAUAAAAAUUAUGUGAAAGUUCUGUUAUUCACGAGCGAACACGAAGGGUUCGAUCAAAAUUAAGAAUUUUUACGUUUCGUAAAAAUUACAAAACACUUCGUAAAAAUUACGUAACUCCUUUCCUGUAUUUUACUGAACAUUUCCGUAAUUUUUACCGGAUCUGUAUUCUCGCUAGAAAAUUACAGAACUUCUCCGUAAUUUUAACUCAUUAUUUCUCUUCACGUAUCACAAUUAUAAAUCAAACUUCAUUAUCACGCGGAGAGAAAUAUUAAAAAAAUAAAAAUUAUA